rnacentral:rRNA from 1 species
GAUGAACGCUGGCGGCGUGCCUAAUACAUGCCAGUCGAGCGAACAGACGAGGAGCUUGCUCCUCUGACGUUAGCGGCGGACGGGUGGGUAACACGUGGAUAACCUACCUAUAAGACUGGGAUAACUUCGGGAAACCGGAGCUAAUACCGGAUAAUAUAUUGAACCGCAUGGUUCAAUAGUGAAAGACGGUUUUGCUGUCACUUAUAGAUGGAUCCGCGCCGCAUUAGCUAGUUGGUAAGGUAACGGCUUACCAAGGCGACGAUGCGUAGCCGACCUGAGAGGGUGAUCGGCCACACUGGAACUGAGACACGGUCCAGACUCCUACGGGAGGCAGCAGUAGGGAAUCUUCCGCAAUGGGCGAAAGCCUGACGGAGCAACGCCGCGUGAGUGAUGAAGGUCUUCGGAUCGUAAAACUCUGUUAUUAGGGAAGAACAAAUGUGUAAGUAACUAUGCACGUCUUGACGGUACCUAAUCAGAAAGCCACGGCUAACUACGUG